UCCAUUAAUCAAUUAUUCACAUAAUUAAGAAUUAUCUCAAAUUAUUUAAGAUACUACUCACUUUUAACAUACUAUAUACACCUUACUAUCAUGGUCAUGUGGUACAUUGUAUGAUACUAGUCCAUAAAUAUCGGGUAUUAUAGCUUGGACCGUUUUAUCCCAAAUUGUCAAACUUCGACGAAAUUCAUUUUCUUUGAUUUUCUUACCCUCUCACCUUCACGAAUUUAAUCAUCACUUGUUUGAAAUAGCAUAGUGCUUUUAAUCUUAGAAUAAUAUCAUUCCCAAACUUACGUCAAUUAACUUACGGCGACACUUUAACAUACGAAAAAUGCGGGAUGUAAUCUCAUUUCCGAGCUUUCAUCAAUUUACUUAUUGUGUACUUAUAAGUACGAAAAUAUGGGGUGUAACAGUAAUCAUGUAAACAUAUCCAAAAUCAUAAGUCUACUAGUGUGUGUCGAGACCUGGUAUCACAAAUAUGUGGGCGUUCUAGUAGAAUGUACAAAAGAAUACUAGUCCACUGUAUGAAAGGAAAUAGACAGAAAAAAUAUAACAUAAAGAAGACUCCAGCUGCUGCAGGACGGCUUAGAAGGCAGCUCACUGUGAAGUCUCAAAAUAGGGAUCAAAUCUGCGCGUCGUACUGGUGAUCAGAUGCACCUGCCUCAAAUCCUAUACAAUUAAGUAUAGAAGUGUAGCAUGAGUACAUAAAAAUAUGUACUCAGUAAAUCUAGUCUAACCUCUAAGAAGUAGUGAUGAGGGGUCGACUCCGAUGCUUACUAAGGCCAACAAUUUAAUAAAAGGAAAUUCUGAUUAAGCAUGAUAUAUAGAGAUAACAAUAAAUCUCAGAACAAGAAAUAACUGAACAAUUUUUUCGUCAUAUUUAAGAACCCAAAACACUUCCUUCAUUUAAAACAAGGAUCUCUCAAACAACGAAUUUAUACAAGUUACAAAAAAGACUUCCAGUUCUAUUAUCACACACGAAUUUCACCGAGGACGUUUGGCCCGAUCCAACAUAAAUAUAAAUUGUGCACAGCCGGGGUCGAACGGCCUGAACCAUAGAUGCAUCUAAUCACCCCGCUCGCGAGUCAUACAUGUGAUGCAGUCAAAUGUAAAUUUAUCAAUAACUCAUAAUCCUUCCUUGAUUCUUUUCAAAAUAAAGACAAUUCAAUUUGAAGCUUUUAAAUCCUUGGAAAUCCUCAACUUAAUUCCAUUUGUUACAAUUAACAAAUAUAGUCAAAUAACGGUAUAUACAAAGCGUGAUGUAAACCUAAAACUACCCGGACAUAAACAGGAUUAGUAGCUACGUACGGACUCUCGUCACUUCGUGCGUACGUAGCCCCCACAAAUAAACACAUAUUAAUUAAGUUCACCUUUGGGAAACUUUCCCUCUUACAAGGUUAGAAAAGAGACUUACCUCGUCUUAAGGCCUACUUCCCAAUUCAAGAAUGCGCUCAAGCCUCCAAAUUUGAUGCCAAACGGAUCGAAACUAGUCAAACAUUACGUAAAUUAAUCAAUCUAUGCUCAAGAGUUCAUAUCCCCACUAUUAAAGUGAUUACCCAACCCAAAUUCCAAGAUUCUUAAAAUUCACCCUCGGACCCACAUGCCCGGAUUCCAGAAAAUUUUGAAGAAAGUUGUUACCCAUAACCUUAGGAACAUAAAUAUAUAAUUUUUACUAAGUUCCAUAACCAAUUGCAUGGUCAAAUCUCACUUUUUAUAAAAACAAAUCUAGGUUUUCAUCUAAACCCUUUAUUUUCAUUAAUGUUUACAUGUUAAUCUACACAUAAUCUAUGUAUUUAACUCAUGUUGUGUGGAAAUUACUUACCUCAAAGUGCUAGGAGAAAACACUCUUCCAAAAGCUCCAAAAAUCGCCCAAGAGAUGGAGUGAAAUGAAAUAGAUGGCCUAAGUCCCGAAUUAAAAGAGUUAGGCACAGGCCUCUAAUGUCGCAUUUGCGACACCAAGUUCGCGAAUGCAAGGGUCGCAAAUGCGACAAAACACUCGCAAAUGUGAAGCCUGGCUUCAGCUGCUCAGGUCGCAAAUGCGACGCAGGGGUCGCAAAUGUGAUAACUGCUAAGGCCGCAAAUGUGGCUCAGGUGUCACAAAUGCAAAUAAUGCUCCAGUCGAGCUUCUUCGCAAUUGCAAAGCUCUUCUCGAAAAUGUGAGGUUUGCAUUUGCGAACUAUUUCUCGUAUUUGCGAGACCUGCAACUGAUGCCAAGAAACACCAAAAAUCUGGUGUGUUUUUCAUCCCUUUCGAAUGUUCGAAACUCACCUGAGCCCUCGGCUCUCCACACCAAUCACUCACAAAAGUCUAGAAACAUCGUACAAACUUGAUCGCGCGAUUGGAACAGUGAAUAAAAUCAAAAUCCGUGAAUUGGAUGCCAAAACGCAUGAAUUUACUCAUGAACUCCAAAAACUUCUAAAACACUUUCGCGCGUACGAUUCCUAUCAAAUUAACUCGGAAUGAUGCCAAACUUUGCAUGCAAGUCUUAGACCUACUCCAACUUCCGGAACUAGAAUCCGAACCUGAUAUCAAAAAGUCCACCCUCGGUCAAACUUUCCAAAUACUUCAAGUUCUAACUUUUUCCAAAUGACUUUGAAAUGACCUACGGACCUCCGAAUCCAUUUUCGGAUGCGCUCCUAAGUGCAGAAUCACCUUAUGAAGCUAUUCCCAGGCUUGGAAUCCCAAACGAACGUAUAUAAUGUAAAAAUCCAUUUCAACCUAAGCCUAUGGAAUUUGCUCAAAAUGUCAACUUUUACUAUUAGGCGCCAAAACGCUCUUAGGUCAUCCAAAACCCGCUCAGAAUAUAUGCCCAAGUCUGAAAUCAUCAUACGAACCUAUUGCAACCGUCAAUCCUGAUUCCGAGGUCAUUUACACAAAAAAUUGACCGAAGUCAAACUUGCCCUUUCAAGUCAACCUUAAGAAACCAAGUGUUCCGAUUUCAACCCGAACCCCUUCAAAUCCUAGACCAACCGUCCCCACAAGUCAUUGUUACACCUCCUUUUUACCACUCCCGGAAGGGUGUAUAAGGUAGUUUUUCAAUUUAAGUGACAAUCGAAACAGGAUUAUUUAUUAAAAUCAGAGUCGCCACUUGGGAUAAUUUAUGGUGUCCCAAGUCACCGGUUUGAAAUCCCGAAUCGAGGAAGUUUGACUCUAUUUACGGUCUGCGAACACAGAAAUCUAGGUAAGGAAUUCUGUUAACUUAGGAGAAGGUGUUAGGCAUUUCCGGGUUCCGUGGUUUUAGCACGGUCGCUCAACUAUUAUUAUUGGCCUAAUUAUCUGAUUUUUUACACGUUUUAAACCUAUUGUGCAUUUUUAACUUUUUAGUUGCUUUUAAUAUUUCGUAAAAAUUCAAGGUUAUUUAAAACGCAUCGUAAGCCACGGUACAUGAAAUGCACCCGUGGUUCAUGACACGUUCUAUUUAACCCUGUGGAAAUUGAAGUCGGGUCACAUGAAAUGGACACCCGGGUUUUAAAAUUAAGUAUCACAACUACGUCACGUAAACCGUACCCAUAGCUAUGACAAUUAAGAAAAUAGAAAUAAAAUUAACUAAAGUAAAUAAACCUAAUUUUAUGCUCAUCCUUUUUUAACUUUUCAUUUCAUGUAUUCGGCCGAGCCCAAUUUCUAAACAUGGAAAUAAAUUAAUUAUCAAAUGGGCUGGUUAUAUCCCCAAUCCCAUAACCUCAAAUUUUGUUUAAAAGCACAUCUUAAAUGAAACAAAGCAUGGCAAAUAGUUCGGACAAAGAAAUAGCCAAAAUGCGGGCGACUAGCUAGGAGAAGUAAAUAAAAAUACGGUAAAAGUAAUUCUUUAAUCCCAUUCUACACACCCCUCCCCACCACAAUUAAGACCAUACCAUGUGAUUUUAUAUACCUGUGCUAUAACUCCACAAUUACAUUCAAAUACCACAUAAAAAUCUCAAAUCUACAUCAUUAUGGACACUACACUUAAAUAUGCGAAUUCAAUUAUGAAACCCAUUUUUACCAUAGAACCAUGCCAAGCAUCCAAAUUCGACGACAAGAGCUCUUUAUGUUAGUGAGAUGGCUUAUUGCAGAACUUCAUUUAUCUUUUGAAAAGACACACAAUUCAUUCAAUUAAGGACUAAAUUCCAGCCUUUAAGAUUUAGAAGAGCAAAGAGAAAUCAACUCCAAUGACAGUCCAAACUAGCUUCACGACAACUCUAAUAGACCAUGAGAUCCAAAAAUGAUAAAUUAACUUUGAGGCCAAUAUGAUAAGUUCAUCUCCUAAGUCCUAUGCCAAACAGAGGAACCUUUAUAUAACAUAAGUCUUAUGUGCUUUUGUGUCAAAAUUUAAAGAACAAAUGAAAACCAAUAGAUCAAAGUAACAUAUAAAUUACACAUGCUCGAUUCUGUCGAAAUUAGGAUCAAUCUAUGCUACUCAAAUAUCACCAUUAUCUUCAUACUAAGGGCAAUCUAAGCAGGACUGAUAAAGCAAGGAAUAUAGCAGCCCAGGCAUCUUAAACCAAAAGAAUGCGAUUGAGAACAAGUCGUAAAUAUCGCAAAGAAGUUCUCGAGAUUCGACUUGCGCUUAAUCUCAAUCGGACGAGCAAGGCAAACUCAAGAGAAUUAAAGUAGAACAAUUUUAUCUCCUAAAAAAAACAUAGACAGAUUCUAGGCAUUUAUUCUGUUUUAAUCCAAAAGUUCCAUCAUAAUUUAGUCAUACUUCAAAUAAAAAAGGAGGUAAGAUAUAAACCUGAGUGCAAGCAACUUUCGAUUAAUAAAUUCAGGAACGAAUACGGGCAAACCGGCGUAGGAAUUUGAAAGUGCGACAGAACACGAACAAGACAACAAGAAUUGAAAUCGGAACCGUAAACCUCGACUUCCGAAUCGCACUCGAAACCACUCCGGACAGCGGCGAUUUCAAUAAUCUUAGCUUGACUCCAUAAUUUAAACCUUUCUCGUUCUCUUCACUAUUUUUUGGAGCUCUUGCUCUAUUUUUCGUCUGUGUAUGGGAGAGUGGUGAAGGCUGUGCGUAUGUUAAGAUUGAAGAAGAAAGACUUCAGGGGGGUCGUGUGUGUCCAGUGGCUUCAGAGGUCUAGGUCGUUAAAUGUUUGGUCAGUGGAAAAGGGGUGGAGAAGAAGGAGAAUGGAUGGGAGGGGGUCGGUCGUCUAUGAUAUGCCGUUGAAGGAGAUGAACAACGGGUGAUGGGUUUUUCUUGAUUAUCAAAAGCGGCGGAUAGCUUCAGCUUUUUAGGCUUAGGUCCCUAGGUAUUAGGCAUCGUUUGGUUGUAUCCAUCAUCAGAAAACCACUGAUUAGUAAAUUAGGGGCCUAGGUCUUUUAGUUUAUAAUUUGGUUUAUAUUUGAUAGGUGAAAGGAUUAUG
rnacentral:lncRNA from 1 species